GGACGGGGCUCCCUCAUGGUCAUGCCUCGCAAUGGCAGUCGCCUAGACAUUGUUCACGAGAACCUGAAAAUGGGGUCAGACGGGGAGAGCGACCACGCUUCGGGAACGUCUUCCGAUGAGGUGCAGUCGCCUACAGGUGUUUGUCUGAGGAACAGAGGGAACAGACGUAUCUCUGCAGAGGACCUGAACAAACGGCUGUCUCUUCCGGCCGACAUCCGGAUACCCGACGGAUACCUGGAGAAGCUACAGCUGAGCAGCCCACCGUUUGACCAGCCCCUGAGCCGACGUUCCCGCCGAGCAUCACUGUCAGAAAUCGGGUUUGGGAAGCUGGAGACCUACAUCAAGCUGGACAAACUGGGAGAGGGCACCUACGCAACAGUAUUUAAGGGAAGAAGUAAGUUGACGGACAACCUUGUGGCACUGAAGGAGAUCAGACUGGAGCAUGAGGAAGGAGCACCGUGCACGGCCAUACGAGAAGUGUCACUACUCAAAGACCUGAAACAUGCCAACAUUGUGACCCUGCACGACAUCAUUCACACGGACAAAUCCCUCACCCUUGUCUUCGAGUACCUGGACAAAGACCUAAAGCAGUACAUGGACGACUGUGGGAACAUCCUGAGUAUGUUGAAUGUCAAGAUCUUUCUGUACCAGAUCUUGCGAGGCUUGGCCUACUGUCACAGACGGAAAGUUCUGCACAGAGACCUGAAGCCUCAGAAUCUGCUCAUCAAUGACAGAGGAGAACUCAAACUGGCUGACUUUGGUCUGGCCAGGGCAAAGUCUGUGCCGACGAAGACCUAUUCUAACGAGGUGGUGACACUUUGGUAUCGACCUCCUGACGUUCUGCUGGGCUCGUCUGAGUACUCCACACAGAUAGAUAUGUGGGGUGUGGGCUGUAUCUUCUAUGAGAUGGCUGCCGGCAGACCCCUGUUCCCAGGCUCCACCGUGGAGGACGAGCUGCAGCUUAUCUUCAGGCUGCUAGGCACUCCGACAGAGGACAGCUGGCCUGGAAUAUCCUCUGUAGACGAGUUUAAGACCUACAAGUUCUCCAAGUAUAAGACCCAGCCCCUAAUAAACCACGCCCCUCGGUUGGACACUGAUGGCAUUGACCUGCUGAUGUCAUUCCUAAAAUAUGAAUCUAAAAAGAGGAUCUCUGCAGAUGAAGCAAUGAGACAGCCCUACUUCAGGAGCCUGGGGCCACGUGUGCACACACUGCCAGAGAGCGCGUCUAUAUUCACACUGAAGGAGGUGCAUCUGCAGAGGGAUCCUGGUUACAGGAACUCGUCCUAUCCUGAGUCAGGCACUGGUAAAAGCAGAAGACAAAGUAUGUUGUUUUAGACUUGAUUCUUUAUCUUUGUGGGAAAGAGGAACCCUGCUGUACAUUGUCAUCAGUGGACCAGUCACUGGAUGGAUUUUGGCGUUGAGCACCAACAUCAUUGUUAAGCCUUCAAACUGCUUUGGGAAACUCGUCAACAUUAUCCACACCUCCAGCCACCUCCCCGGUGUUUGGCCUGAACCUGGCCUAGAAAGAGAGACCUUUGUAUACUGUACAUCUAUAUUUAUUAUGAAGAGAAUUUGCUGCUAAAAUCCAACUACUGUUUAGAUUUCUAAUGGGCUCAGUCACUUUAAUGAGUACAUGCAAUGUAUAUAGUUCUAAUUUUAUUUUUUUUUUGAAGUGGUGAAAUUUUUAGUCAACUUUUUUUUUUUUUUUUUUCUUUUUCAUUUUCAUACGGAAAAUCUGCAGCUCCAGCUGUUUGCGUUUGUGAUGCAGAAACAGAGACAGAGUUGGUGUAGCAGCUCUGAAGGUUCUCAUGUUGUCUCUGAUGUCCUCAGCUGCACAAACUACACACAGCGCUUUACCCUGAAGGUUUUUGAGGCCAGCUUUGUUUAAAUAGCCGAUAAUUGUCUUCUAACAUCGAGGUUAAGGACAAACGAUGCCAAGGUCUGUAGGGGAAAAAAAAAAAAAAAAAAAAGCCUGAUAACUGGCAUGUCAUUCCAGGAUGCUGUGGUCUCUGUUGUGACCAAUUAACAAAUGUAGGAGGAAACACAGCAACCUAGGAAUUUUAAAAAGGGCAUUAUGGGAUGAGAUUGUGCCUCCAAAAACAUCUGAAGUCCAGAACGAACUCCACAUCCUUGUUUUUCCCUUUACACUCCCUCUCCAUCAGUCACUGAGGAGGCAGCAAAGUUCAUUUCCGGUGGUUGAAUCUGUGAUGCUGCCUUUUCAGAUGUUCUGCCAUUUCCAUCUCCAUCAUCUGUGUAAAACAAAACAAAAAAAACAUGGCUCUGUCUGAUCUGGAUCACCUCCAUCAUUGUUUUCCAUGUCUGUUGUGUUGUGUGAGGAAACACACAGUCACAGGGAGCACAAUCUGUCCUCCUGCCCUCCAUACAUAGAAAAUGGCCACAUGUCAGUCUAUUUAACAGUGUUACAGAGAUGUUUUGUAUCAUGUUCUUGAACUUUAUUUGUGGAUAACUGUUAUUGGUGUGGGGAUUCACUGCAGACGCCCUCCCGUAUUUAAGUUGGUUUUUUUUUUUUCUUCCAGAGUACAGAAAAAAUUAAAUCAAAGGUUUAAACAGAGCUCACCUGACUUGAUGUGAAUUUUUAGGCAUCAGUCCUCAAGCACUCGAUGCCCAUUUUAUUGAAAAUGACAUGACGUUCUUUGCAAUACAAAAAAAUACAGGAUACAUACUGUAUACCAAGUCAUAGUUAUAAAAAAAAAAAAAUUACAAGUGAUACAAAAGUUUUCCAUUGAUUUUUAAAUCUCGUCUUCAUUGAAAGGAUUUGGAAAUAAAGAGAAACGUAAGACAACAAGGCACAGCCGGUAAUAUCUGAGAAGCAUAGUGCAUACAAUACAUACAUGUUCAAUACAACACAGUACAAUUCAAUACCAGUCCAACAAGCUGUUUCACACAUGAUCAACAGUUUAAUAAUAAAACAAAAGACUUUCCUGUAAGGUUGAAAACAAAUGACUUUUCUAGACUAGCAACUAGCUAGCUAGCCUUCGGCUACUGAACUGGGUAACUCAUUUCUUGUGUAGCAAAAAUAAAAAAAAAAAAAAAAAAGAGACAGGAAGUGCUUUUUCUGCUGGUAACUCCAUAUGAAUGAAAGUCAUACUUGUGUCUUGCAACCAUUU